UUCCGAGUGAAGAAUCGUUGCU
rnacentral:miRNA from 1 species